AUGAGGACACUUAAGACAUCUCCAUGACAGCAAACUCCACCCACUGCUGAGGAUGUGGUUAAAUGUUUCGAACUUGAUCUUUCCUCUGCCCCCAACAAGCAAAGUGCAAAUCUAUAGAGGGACACAUUCAUUUUCAUAAAAAGAAAACAGGUUUUUUAAUAGAAUUUGAUUGAUUGUGGUGGCUGAGUGGGAGACACAGGCACUAUGACAGCAACACUACUGAUUCCAUUUGGUACCAAUGUCUUCUUUCUAAUCUCUUUGGACAGACGUAGAAUCAAAUAAAGGCAAAAAUACAAAAAAAUUAAGUAAAAACUUUAAAAAGCGAUAUCUUUAUCAGCACUCCUUAUAGCUUUUUUUGGCAUUUUAGGAAAAGUGCUUUUUUAUUUUCUUGCUGAGAGUUUGAUCAUCAUCAUAAAAAAACUGGAGCCCCCAAAUGUAUUUAGAAAUUGUGAAAUUGUCUUUUCCGAUGCAACCAGGAGACCAAAAAUACUCCUAAAAGGUUUGAUGCGCUCAACUUGUUAGACCUCUCUUGCACACCUUCAUUACCAAACUAAACGCUGUCGCCAUGACCUCUCACUUGCACUAUGAAUAGUCAGCACACUCAGGCUGUGACUGUAAACCGGAGCUGGCAGGUCUCCAAUGACACCUAUUAAACAGAUGUCUUCUGCAUGCUGUGGCGGAAGAAGUGCUCAGCAUAUCAACAUGACAUUUGUAGAUGAAAAAUGAUGAUCGACGUCGUCUCUAAUGAAUUCUCUACUCGUGUAAAUUAUUUACAGUUUAAUCUGCGUGGUCGUAUCUCACAUAGAGCUCUUGUGUGUGACGGAAAAAUGUUAAUCUGGGGAGUAAUUAGUCGGUAAAGCUGUGAAAUACAGUGGAGUAAAACUUUUCCCUCUUGUAAGUAGUGGAGUAGAAGUUAGAGUAUCAUAAAAAUGGGAAUACUCAUGUAAUCAUAGCAGAGAUAAGAUAAAACUGUAUUGAUCCACACAAAAUUCAACUCUUUCAGCAGCAGGCAGGUCCGAAUGAGGUAGACAAGAGAAUAAAAAUGUAAAAAAAAAAGGCAUAAGAAUAAAAUAAAUAAAUAAAUAAUGCAGAGUAUGCGCAUAAUAUACCUUUACCUUUCACUGUAGUGUUUUUUAUAGAAAUGUUGUAAAGUACAAUGUAUGUAAAUAGUAAAUAGUAUGAGUACAGUGAAAAACAGUGCAGUAUUUUAUUUUUCAUCUCUGAUGGUGUUGUAGAGUCUGACAGCAGUGGAAUUACUCAGGAAAAUGUACUUAGUUACUCUGUCUGCAUCUUGUCUGACAGUGGAUCGUCCUGACAUCAUGUUAGUGGAGGUGUAACAGGUAAGGGCCACAUCCUCUUUUUCUCCUUGUGCCCGGUAGGCGGCGCCAUCGGGCCAGGCAAUCCUUUCCCUGAUGAAAACCGCUACGUCACACACACGCACAUACACGCACACACACACUGGCUGUAAAGAUGGCACGGUAUCGCGAGAGCGCCGUGCCGCGACCGGAGCGCUGGAUGGCGCUGGUGGUGGCGGUGGCGGUGGGGGCUGGAUGAUGCGCCCACGGCUCGCCCUCCCUCUCGCUUCCUCUCUCCCUCCCUCUCUCGCUCUCUCUCGGUUAAAUCACACGGAGGGACACGCGAUCGGACGGAGACUGGCGGCGACAGCACCCGGGGCAAAGUAAACGAGAAGAAAGUAUUGAAGGAGUCUCCACAUGGGAGCAACAGUGCUGCUUCAUCAACAUCUCAUCAAUAUCUGACAGAACCUGCCCAAGGACGCCUUGGACACGCUCUCAUGUCCUCAAACACGAACCGCUAAAUCCAAGGAGCUAAAAAAAAAUUUAAAAAAAGCCGACUGCUGGCGCCAGCAAGUGGACAGAUUUUAAAGUGAAAACACGGCUGGAGAGGGGGAGGGGUGUAUGGGUGCCAAAUCCCCGUUCAAGACACACCACAUCUCCUUGAUCCACCGCCGCCACCUCCUUCGUCUUCCUCCCUCCAUUUCCUUCGCCUCCGCUUUUCUCUCAUUCUCCCUCGUUCUCUCUCAUGGGUGUGACAUAGAGGCCGGCGCUUGGUCUGCUGCCCCGCCCCUUCCCCGCCUCACCUUGGAAACGGGGGCGUCCAGGUAGGGAUGUCGUGGAAGAGGAACUAUUUUGCGUCGGGCGGCGGAGCAGUAGGUGCGGCGCAGGGGCUGGUGACCCCGAGAACCAUGACCUCUAUUGCACCCAGCAAAGGCCUGAGCAACGAGCCGGGACAGAACAGCUGCUUCCUCAACAGCGCUCUGCAGGUUCUGUGGCAUCUCGACAUCUUUCGCCGAAGCUUUCGACAGCUGACAACGCACAAGUGCAUGGAGGACUCGUGCAUCUUCUGCGCUUUAAAGAGUAUCUUUGCUCAGUUCCAGUUCAGCAGUGAGCGUGUGCUGCCAUCAGAUGCACUGCGGAGCGCUCUGGCCAAGACUUUCCAGGACGAACAACGCUUUCAGCUGGGUAUCAUGGACGAUGCUGCUGAGUGCUUCGAGAAUCUCCUGAUGCGUAUCCACUUCCACAUCAGCGCGGAGAGUCGAGAGGACAUCUGCACCGCCAAACACUGCAUACCACACCAGAAGUUUGCCAUGACUCUGUUUGAACAGUGUGUGUGUAACAGCUGUGGAGCCACAUCAGACCCCCUGCCCUUCAUUCAGAUGGUUCAUUACAUCUCCACUACAUCCCUCUGUAACCAGGCGGUGAGGAUGCUGGAGUGCAGAGAGAAGGCCACACCGGACAUGUUUGGAGAACUGCUCCGCAAUGCCAGCAACAUGGGAGACCUGCGCAAUUGCCCUAGUAACUGUGGGGAGGUGCUGCGUAUCCGUCGGGUGCUGAUGAACUCACCGGAGAUUGUGUCCAUCGGGUUGGUGUGGGAUUCAGACCACUCUGACCUGGCGGAGGACGUCAUACACAGCCUGGGGACUUGCCUUCGUUUGGGAGAUUUGUUCUACCGUGUGACAGAGGAGAGGGCUCGCCAGGCGGAGCUUUAUUUGGUGGGCAUGGUGUGCUACUACGGCAAGCACUACUCCACCUUCUUCUUCCAGACCAAGAUACGCAAGUGGAUGUACUUCGACGACGCCCACGUCAAAGAGAUUGGCCCGAAGUGGAAGGACGUGGUGUCUCGCUGUAUCAAAGGCCACUAUCAGCCCCUGCUGCUGCUCUACGCUGACCCCCGUGGGACGCCGGUGAUACUGCAGGAGAGCCCCAACCCCUGUACCAGCUCCAACCCGCAGCUGGAGCUCCAGCACUGCAGCAGCAAGGCUGGUUACGACAGCGAAGACUCCGGUCGGGAGCCGUCCAUAUCCAGCGACACUCGCACUGACUCUUCGACGGACAGCACCAGUCACCGCGCCUCCCGCAGCCGAUCUCUCCACCAGUCGACGGGCAGCCACCUCUCCAGUGAAUCCCAGACCACAGUGGUCUGUAAUAACGACAUUGGCACACCACCACACAGUGCUGACGCCAGAGAGUCAGCGGUGGAGGGUCCUCCCCGCCCUCCCUCUCCUCCCCUGCCGGAGUACAAGGAGACGGCUGUCUUCCUCCUCUCCUCCCGCCGGCCCCUGACCUCCUCCUCCUCGUCCUCUCGUCCCCUGUCCUCCUCCUCCUCGUCAGGAGUAGGGGGCUGUGAGAGUGGGGCAGGCGGCCCCCACUGGGAGGAUGAAAGCACCAGCAGUGAGAGCAAGUCCAGUUCUUCUGGAGGCCGCUACAGGCCAACCUGGAGGCCCAGGAGAGAGGCCCUGAACAUCGACAGCAUCUUCACCCGCCAGCGAGGCUCCUCUCUGGGCUACAACACGCUGCCUGGUCCCUCUCUCCCUCCAGAGCCCCACGACUCCCUCCCUUUGGCCGGACCCGCUCCACCCACACAGCCAGGGCUGCAAGACGUAGAAGGGAGGGACAUCAGGGAGUUGGAGGUGGGGUUUGGGCUGGUCGGGCAGCCCAGGUCUCUGGCCAGCGGGCGGACGAUGGGUCCCCCUGCUCCUCCACCUCUGAGAGGGGUGGAGCACCAGCCGCGUCUGAUCCAGAGGAUGGAGAGUGGCUACGAGAGCAGCGAGAGGAACAGCAGCAGUCCGGACAGGGAGGUGGGGCAACAGAAACGGGUGCUAAUGUCAGGACCUUCAUGGCGUUCGGUGCCCAAGUCAAAGAGCAGCAGUGCCAUCCUGCAGGAGCUGCCCUCGCCCAGCUGGGGUAGAGUCACCAGCACAGGGCGCAGCGAGCUGGACGAGCUGCAGGAGGAGGUGGCGAGGAGAGCCCGCCAGCAGGAGCAGCAGAAGCGGAGGGAGGCCGAGCGGGAGGCCGCCAUGGGAUUCAACCCCAAACCCAGCAAAUUCAUGGACCUGGACCAGCUCCAACACCAGGCUGUGCUCAGACCCCUGCAUGAGGCUAACGCUCAUAGCGGAUUGGCUGUAGCUGCGUGCAUGAGGAGCACUGGGGGCCCAAUCAAACGCAGGCAGGAACAGGAAAUGGAACUGGAGGCAGGAAGGGCCCGUCCACAGGGGCCUCACAGUGAACAGCCUGGCCCGGUCCAAGUACUGCUGACGCCCAAUCAGGAGGAGGAAGAGGACCCGGCAGUGCCCAACCAGGAUGCUGCUCUGGGCCCGGACCCACCCCCUCCACCCUAUCGGCUACCUGCUCCCCCUCGACCCCCGUUCACCCUCAGCAUCGCUCACCCUUGCGCCCCUUCCGGCCAAGGGGGGGAGGAGGAGGAGGUCGGCGGAUGCGUGGGCAGGAGAAGGGAGAAAGAGGAGGAUGGGAUGGAGGGCACAGGGGUGAGGCUGUGUGAGUUGCUGCAGGCAGGGGGGGUGAGUGUCAGACCUCUGGGGAAGCACCUAGCCAUCUCUUUGCCCUCGCUUCCUCUGCGUCUCUGGGAUACACACGCCACACACACCGCACACUCCACGCACCUUGAACCCACACACACACCCCCUACCCCUCUGCCCUCCACUCCUCCCCCGUCCUCCCCUCUGGAAGCCUCUGGGCAAAGGAGAGCUCCCGCGCCGCUGUGGCAGCCCCCCCGGCCCCAGUCCCCCACUGUCGCCUCUCAGCACUGGCUGAGGCACGGAGCCGCCUCCGCCAGCGGCACGCGCCAUUGGUCCUCCUGGAGCUUGGACCGCCCUGACGCCGUGGUAACGCCAUACAGCACGCCCCCGGACUGCUGCGUUCCAUUCAGGCCACAGGCGUCCAGCCAGAACUACAGCUACAGUGGCCAGUCCUCUCCAGGGCACUACAGCUCCCAGCAUGCCCCAGGGCAACACAGUGACCGCGAAGAGGCUGAGCUGUCUGAGUUUGACUCCCUUUACCAAGCCAGUCUGCAGGCCGGAAAGACAGGCUGCAGCCCAUCAGAGAGGCUCAUAUCCAGGGUGGGAGGACAGGCUCGCUCUAAGACCCCCAACGCAGACAUGGAGAGGAGUGUGUACGGGGCAGACUGCACCAGCCCCCCCACCUACCUCAACAAGCCGACGAUGUUGCGGGAUCUGCGUUUUGGGGCAGAGCCGGAUGAUGGGGAAAAUCUGAGGCAAAUGGGACGCAGCCUCAGCGGCACUGUAGUGACCUCUCGCCGCAGCCGCCUGACUGCAACCCGCAGCUUUGUGAAGCAGACUGAUGUCAGUGCCUCUCCUUGCUUACUUCCUCUCUUCUGAGUCCCUGUUGCUAUUUCACCACUGUCAUCUCCUCCAUCAUCCUCAUCACCAACACCUUCUCAUGACCACCUCCCUCCACUGCUUUACAGGAGCUGUCGAGCAAUGCAGGGAGUUUCUGGCUGUGUCUGACGGGGGUCAAGCUGUCGUCUGACCAGAGUCCCGCUCUGCUUCACUAACGUCUCGCGUGUCCACUUCCACACGGGGGGGGGCGGCGGCUUCGGGUCAUCGACCGCCUCGCCUUGACGGACCUGGCUCAGGAGGAUCGACCUCAGCUGCGAUCCCAUUCUUUCCCCCUUCUCCCUCUAACGACAUGCACACGCAGACACAUGCACGCACACAUGCACAUCUGCACUGACGUACAGCCUCCCUCAGCGCCUGCAGCACCCUGCUUAGCCCCCUCCCUCCCUCCUUCCCCUACUUUUACCUACUAUUCUGUCUAUGCAGUCACUCUGACCCCAACUACAACCUCAAGCUUCCCCCUUUCUUCCCGGGACUGUUCUUUCUUGUCUCCCCCUGGGUUUUCCGAGGGAUCCCCAGUGCAGGCAACCUGGCGAGCAUCGCCGCUUUAAGUAGCCUUGUCAGUUUGACGUCGGCGGGGCACCGGCUGGGUCUGACUAGGACCUGAGCUCUCAGCGGACUUGCCCUCCAUCCCAACAGGAGCCCUCAGCUCAGGGGGAGGCUCUUACCAAGUAGCCACGCCUCUUCCUCUUUCUUCACGGGCAUUUCUUGUUGGACGCACACGUAGCCGAACUGGGUCUGUUUCAAAUGGGCAGCCAUAUUUUUUCUCUCUUUUGUUUUUAGGGUUUGUCUUAUUGUUCUUUUUCUUCCUGUGUGCGCGCACAGUAAACCCGCCCGAGACCGAACUCUCUAAUAACUAAAAGUCAUGUACAGAAAAACUCAUGUAUGAAACCUGUAUGUUAAUUAAUAAGACCUUAUGGAAUGUUGAUAAUGAUAAUUAACGAAUAUUGAUAAACUUAAAGUGGUACUUCCUCAUGUCUGCAUUUCAAAUACGAGUGGAGUGCACUUCACAAGUGUCUAGCUGGAGUUUCCGCCCCCCCUUAAACCUCUCGCCGAUCUUAAUGACAGCUCUCCCGUUUCUACCGGGAGAUUAAACGAGAAAAGCGCUUCCUUUUUCUCUCUGCUUCUUUCCUCUACUCCUUUCCUCUCUCGCACUCUUUUAUUCUUCGCGCGCUUUCUUCCUUCCGAACAGGAAACGGUAGCACCAGAAAUAGGCCAGCAGGGGAGAAAAGUCGAGACGGAACGAGAGGAUGUAGGUUAGUAAACCCGUCCUCUUCGGCUUUAUCGAUGAAAAGAGGAGACUACUCAAGUGCGCUUUGUGAGAUGAUGACUUGGCAGAAGAAGUGCACUUUGCGAGGGCUGUUUGAGCGAGAACGAUUGAUGUGGUUUGUUUUACUUAAAGGCCUCAGGUGACCUUCAGUGGCACUUAUGAAUUCACACUUUAUUAUUUCUCUCACCCACUGAAAACACUGAAAGUUUUUUGAGAUCUCAGAAAAAAAGCUUGUCUUCAAAAAAAAUCUUCAGCCUGAGACAGUGACAUGUCGAAAAUGAAUAUACUUUAUAUGAUAUGUAUGUAUUAGAGGUAUAUUUUCAGCCAGUGAGCUAUCUUCUUUAGAGAUGUCAACCAUUCCUCAGUUGUAUGAACACUUAUUACACAGUAAUGAACAGGUAUGAUAUCAUUCACUCCCCCCUUUACUAAGUAGCAUUCUGACAUGUGUAGAUUUAUUAUUAUGCUUUAUUCUAUUAAAUAUCAUAUGAAAUAACAAAGUCCCUAUUCAAGAACUAGCCAAUGUGAAGUUCUUCAAGAAUUUACUGAUGUUGAUUGAUCGUUGUAACUAAACCAAAGGUUGGCACUUAACUCAGAGAGCGUAUUUAACAUCAGUUUUUCAUUUCCCUUUCUGAUUUUGUCGAUGUUAUUUUGUUUGUUAUUUGGGGGGGGUUCUGGAUGUGGGAGAAUGUAGCCAAUUGUAGCGCAUGAGUCCGCUAUGCAAAUCAACCUUCCCUCACAAUCCUGUAUCAGAGACAGUCAGGAGGCAGACACACCCACCCCACCCACGGGGGGCGCUCUCACGGACUCUGGUAGAGGCCUGGAGAGGAGGACGAGAAUCUUCAUGUUCAAUGCUGCUGGUGAACUUUGUUGUUCUGCAUCUACGUCUACGUUUCAUCCAAUGGAAUGCAAAAAGAGAGCAACAAGCGUGGCGAGAGCGCCGUACGGAGCACGAGAGCGAAUGAAUGUAAACUAAAGGAUGAAAGUGUGUUUUGUUUGCGACUGACAUGAUGGUCAGAGACAGAGAAGGGUGGAGAGUAACCGCUGAUGAUGGUUUCUUGUCUGUGGGUGUGUGUAGACUAUGUGUGUCAGUUCUGGGGUGUUGUUGCUCGGGGAAAGAGGGAACCUGUAUUUUUGCAAUAAAGUUAUUACCAAUGCACUCCCACAGGGGGCGUAACCAC